rnacentral:rRNA from 1 species
AGCAGCCGCGGUAAUUCCAGCUCCAAUAGCGUAUAUUAAAGUUGUUGCAGUUAAAAAGCUCGUAGUUGAAUUUCGAGAUCGAUUUAUUGGUCGUGCUAUUGUACGUACUGGUAUUAUCGGUUUCUCCUUUCUGACGAACCAUAAUGCCAUUAAUUUGGUGUUUUGGGAAGUCAGGACUGUUACUUUGAAAAAAUUAGAGUGUUUAAAGCAGGCUCACGCUUGAAUACAUUAGCAUGGAAUAACGGAAUAGGACGUUUGAUUCUAUUUUGUUGGUUUCUAGGAUCGACGUAAUGAUUAAUAGGGAUAGUUGGGGGCAUUAGUAUUCAAUUGUCAGAGGUGAAAUUCUUGGAUUUAUUGAAGACUAACUACUGCGAAAGCAUUUGCCAAGGAUGUUUUCAUUAAUCAAGAACGAAAGUUAGGGGAUCGAAGACGAUCAGAUACCGUCGUAGUCUUAACCAUAAACUAUGCCGACUAGGGAUCGGAUGAUGUUAAUUUUUUAAUGACUCAUUCGGCGCCUUACG